AUUGAACGCUGGCGGCAGGCCUAACACAUGCAAGUCGAGCGGAUGAGUGGAGCUUGCUCCAUGAUUCAGCGGCGGACGGGUGAGUAAUGCCUAGGAAUCUGCCUGGUAGUGGGGGACAACGUUUCGAAAGGAACGCUAAUACCGCAUACGUCCUACGGGAGAAAGCAGGGGACCUUCGGGCCUUGCGCUAUCAGAUGAGCCUAGGUCGGAUUAGCUAGUAGGUGAGGUAAUGGCUCACCUAGGCGACGAUCCGUAACUGGUCUGAGAGGAUGAUCAGUCACACUGGAACUGAGACACGGUCCAGACUCCUACGGGAGGCAGCAGUGGGGAAUAUUGGACAAUGGGCGAAAGCCUGAUCCAGCCAUGCCGCGUGUGUGAAGAAGGUCUUCGGAUUGUAAAGCACUUUAAGUUGGGAGGAAGGGUAGUAACCUAAUACGUUGCUACUUUGACGUUACGACAGAA
rnacentral:rRNA from 1 species